UGGGGAAUAUUGCACAAUGGGCGCAAGCCUGAUGCAGCCAUGCCGCGUGUAUGAAGAAGGCCUUCGGGUUGUAAAGUACUUUCAGCGGGGAUGAAGGGAGUAAAGUUAAUACCUUUGCUCAUUGACGUUACCCGCAGAAGAAGCACCGGCUAACUCCGUGCCAGCAGCCGCGGUAAUACGGAGGGUGCAAGCGUUAAUCGGAAUUACUGGGCGUAAAGCGCACGCAGGCGGGUUGUUAAGUCAGAUGUGAAAUCCCCGGGCUCAACCUGGGAACUGCAUCUGAUACUGGCAAGCUUGAGUCUCGUAGAGGGGGGUAGAAUUCCAGGUGUAGCGGUGAAAUGCGUAGAGAUCUGGAGGAAUACCGGUGGCGAAGGCGGCCCCCUGGACGAAGACUGACGCUCAGGUGCGAAAGCGUGGGGAGCAAACA
rnacentral:rRNA from 1 species